ACUUGCGCACAACUUAGAUUAUUUAAGUUUAGAAUAUGAGAAACUAAGUUAUAUUUUUACUGAUUUUUAUAGAGUAAAGAUAGAAAUAAAACUUAGUAAAAUCAGUAAAAAUAUUCUUAGGCUAAAGUUAAGUAGUUUAAGUUGUGUGCAAGU
rnacentral:rRNA from 1 species